rnacentral:rRNA from 1 species
AUUGAACGCUGGCGGCAGGCCUAACACAUGCAAGUCGAGCGGUUGCAGGGAGCUUGCUCCUGGAUUCAUCGGCGGACGGGUGAGUUAUGCCAAGGAAUCUGCCUGGUAGUGGGGGAUAACGUCCGGAAACGGGCGCUAAUACCGCAUACGUCUUGCGGCAGAAAGUGGGGGAUCUUCGGACCUCACGCUCUCAGAUGAGCCUAGGUCGGAUUAGCUAGUUGGUGGGGUAAAGGCCUACCAAGGCGACGAUCCGUAACUGGUCUGAGAGGAUGAUCAGUCACACUGGAACUGAGACACGGUCCAGACUCCUACGGGAGGCAGCAGUGGGGAAUAUUGGACAAUGGGCGAAAGCCUGAUCCAGCCAUGCCGCGUGUGUGAAGAAGGUCUUCGGAUUGUAAAGCACUUUAAGUUGGGAGGAAGGGCAGUAAGUUAAUACCUUGCUGUUUUGACGUUACCAACAGAAUAAGCACCGGCUAACUUCGUG